rnacentral:rRNA from 1 species
UACGUAGGCAGCGAGCGUUGUUCGGAGUUACUGGGCGUAAAGCGUGCGUAGGCGGUUUUCUAAGUUUGGUGUGAAAUCUCCCGGCUCAACUGGGAGGGUGCGCCGAAGACUGGGAGGCUGGAGUGUGGGAGAGGUAGGCGGAAUUCCUGGUGUAGCGGUGAAAUGCGUAGAUAUCAGGAGGAACACCUGCGGUGUAGACGGCUUUCUGGACCAUAACUGACGCUGAGAUACGAAAGCGUGGGUAGCAAACAGG